UUGAACAUGGGAGGCAGAGGUUGCAGUGAGCCAAGAUUGUGCCACUGCACUCCAGCCUGUGCAACAGAGUGAGACUUCAUCUCAAAAAAAGAAAAGAAAAGAAAAUUAGCCUACUCAGUUAAAAAGUCUCAGGUAUGGGGAGGCACUUCGUAGUUUAGACUUAGAUGACACUAAGAGGUUCUAAGUGUGAGGAGCUCAACAGUAGUAUCUGGAGCCUGCUGGGAUCCUUACUUACGUGUGGCGGUUCUUCUCCAGGCAGAACAGCAAGGCUGAGAGUCCACAGUGGAGAUGGAGAAGCAGGAUGUUUUAAGGGAAUGACCUUGAUGCAAUGGUAAUCUUCCAGUGUACAACCAGGAAAACUAUCCCAGAGGUCACAGAAUAGAAAGAUUCAGAGACUAAACUGAAACUGUAAAAGCUUGUGGUUAAUUGAAUCAACGUAAAACAGAGUGAGAUGCAAGAAAAAAGAUAUGGUGUAGGUGAAGACACCGGAGAGGGUAGAGGGUUAAAAGAACCAUGCUAUGUGAAUUCUGCAUCACGCAAUGUUUCUAGGUCCUAUCUCUCUUUCCACCUUAUCAGCUCUCUCCAUUGUCUGCAUGAUUACAAGGACCAGGUUUGAUUGUGAGCAAGGGACUCAGCAGAUGGACAGUGCCUGGAGUCAACACUUGCACUGUAGAAGACACACAGGGGCAAAUCGGCUUGGUCUCAGCAGUAGCUUCCACAUUAACUUACUGAGCAGCUGUGGAUUCUAUCUGCACAUCUCAGGCAGAGGAUACCUGGCCAGAAUGGGUGUCACCAGUGAGUUGAGGCAAUUUAAACUCUCGUGCCUAUUCAGUGUCCCAUGAAUAUUAUAUUUGGCCUCUCUCUUAACUCAUCAACAUUUAACAGACCAUGAAUUUUUGCUGCCUUUGGGCUUUCCAUCCUCACCUUUGUUUAACACACUGAUGUGCUUCUUUCUUUCCCUAUGUCUGACAUAGUUCACAGGUCAUUAACUUGCUAUCUAUGCUUAAUACCUACUAUAAGCUUCUGUGUCUCACAAGCUCCUUUUAUACUUACAUUUAUAUUGAGUAUUUCUUAAGAGUUGUAUCAACUCUAUUUGCUUUUCUUGUCUUUUACAAAAGAAUUGAAUAUUGUUAAAUAACACAGCAGACACCCCUUACAAGGAGGAGGGUAUGAACAGAGAAGAAGAGCUUGGGGAUGUGCAGAGGGUGGACUUCUGUGUGUUUGUGGAAAUUAGUUCCACAAUGUGGAUUGCCCUCUGGGAGCUGACAGGGAAUGGGCAAGGUAUUCCUCUUCCCUCUGGGUCCUUCCUAUAUUCCCUCUCAGUUCUAACAUUCUGGACUGGGUCUCUAUUGGUUUUCAUGGAUGAUUUAUAGCCAGGCACUGAAGAAUACUCUCUACAUAGCUGUAUACUUUAAAAACAGUCCUUUCAUAAGCUGUGUUAUGCUGUUCAUUCCUGUACCAUUACAUAUUUCCCUAGAACUAAUAAAUUAUUUACUUUGCAUCCACAAGGCUUAACUAGAAAAACGUACCAAAAAUCAGAGUGUCCAAGUAUUGAAGAAAGGGGAAUACAGACUUUCCCAGGCAGAUGACUCCGAAAUUGUUCAAGGUAACUUAAUAAUCAUCUGAAGACUGUUAUUAAGGUCAAAAGCUGAAGAUGUCCAGACGCAUAAGUAACAAAAUACUUCCAUGAAAACAGAUGCCAGUUUCAUCAUAGGAAACCUGACUGCCAAAAGCUGCACUGUUCCGAGUUACAUACUGUUUUAAUCCCAAAAGUUGGUUUUAACCAAGGUGUAUUUUAUUCUUAAUUUUU
rnacentral:lncRNA from 1 species